AACGAACGCUGGCGGCGCGCCUAAUACAUGCAAGUCGAACGAGAAGGUGUAGCAAUACACUUGUACAGUGGCGAACGGGUGAGGAAUGCAUGGGCAACCUACCCUCGAGUGGGGAAUAACCAGCCGAAAGGUUGGCUAAUACCGCGUACGCUUCCGGGUCUCCGGAUCCGGAAGGAAAGUCACACCGUGGGUGUGACGCUCAAGGAUGGGCUCAUGUCCUAUCAGCUGUUGGUGAGGUAACGGCUCACCAAGGCAACGACGGGUAGCUGGCCUGAGAGGACGAUCAGCCACACUGGCACUGCGACACGGGCCAGACUCCUACGGGAGGCAGCAGUAAGGAAUAUUGCGCAAUGGGCGAAAGCCUGACGCAGCGACGCCGC
rnacentral:rRNA from 1 species